rnacentral:lncRNA from 1 species
ACUCCUCGCUCCGCUCCUUCCUCCGCGGGAAGGGCAGGCCCCGGAGGCAGCGAGCGCCCCGGGGGUGGCCGGGCAGCCGGAUGCUCCCGGGGUUGCGGGCUGUGGCCCCGGGGGCUGAGGGCGGCGCGGGUGCGGCGGAAGCAGGGAAGCCGCGAACCGGCCUUCUGGCUGGCCACAGCGCCCUGCACGGACGAUCAGUGAAUGGAGAUUACUCAAGUAUUUAUCGAGAACUUGCAGUGGGCUAGGCACAGUUCAGGCUGACCUUUCUCAAAGUUGAACCUUCGUCUUGUGAGGAACAGAAAGAUCAAGAACUCUGAAGCACCUCGACUUUCCACCUGUGAAGAUGUGUUCAAAUUUGCAACGUGCGGCCACACCUAUGAGGUUGAACUUUAUACAAUUG